CACGUAGGGGGCAAGCGUUGUCCGGAAUCAUUGGGCGUAAAGAGCUCGUAGGCGGCCACUCAAGUCGAAUGUGAAACCUCGAGGCUUAACCUCGAGCCUGCAUUCGAUACUGGGCGGCUAGAGUCUGGUAGGGGGAUCUGGAAUUCCUGGUGUAGCGGUGGAAUGCGCAGAUAUCAGGAGGAACACCGGUGGCGAAGGCGGGAUCCUGGGCCAGUACUGACGCUGAGGAGCGAAAGCGUGGGGAGCAAACAGG
rnacentral:rRNA from 1 species